rnacentral:tRNA from 1 species
UGUCCGGGAUGGGAAUCGAACCCACAGUGUUCCGCUUACCGGGCAGAUGCCAUGUCCACUAGGCUACCCUGGAC